rnacentral:rRNA from 1 species
AUUGAACGCUGGCGGCAUGCUUUACACAUGCAAGUCGAACGGUAACAGGGAGCUUGCUCCGCUGACGAGUGGCGAACGGGUGAGUAAUGCGUCGGAACGUGCCGAGGAGUGGGGGAUAACGCAUCGAAAGGUGUGCUAAUACCGCAUACGGACUGAGGUUGAAAGUGGGGGACCGUCGGGCCUCACGCUAUUCGAGCGGCCGACGUCUGAUUAGCUAGUUGGUAAGGUAAAGGCUCACCAAGGCGACGAUCAGUAGCGGGUCUGAGAGGAUGAUCCGCCACACUGGGACUGAGACACGGCCCAGACUCCUACGGGAGGCAGCAGUGGGGAAUUUUGGACAAUGGGCGCAAGCCUGAUCCAGCCAUGCCGCGUGUCUGAAGAAGGCCUUCGGGUUGUAAAGGACUUUUGUCCGGGAGCAAAUGCUGGUGGCUAACAUCCACCGGAGCUGAGAGUACCGGAAGAAUAAGCACCGGCUAACUACGUGCCAGCCGCCGCUGUAAGAC